GUAAUUGAGAACGGCUUUCACCACAUAUAGUGGAACAUUGCAUCUCAAAUGAAUUAUAUUCAUCUGCUAUAGUUUCAAAUACACACAAUCAAGUAUAUUGCAAUAUGUUAUGUACAGUAUUUUGGAAGCGGCUACUUUUUAGAUCGGAUUUCGUUCUUUCAUUUUUUUUUCUUUUCCGUUUUUAGUUCACCUGAGCUAAGAGCUCAAGUGAGCUUUUCUGAUCAUCCGUAUUCCGGCGUCCGCCCGUCUGUCUGUCCGACCGUCUGUCCGUCUGUAAACUUUUAAAAUGUCUGUCUUCUUCUCAAACACCACUGGGCCAAUUUCAACCAAAGUUAGCACAAAGCACCCUUAGGUAAAAGGAAUUCAACAUUCUUAAAAUAAAGGGACAGGCCACCUUCCAAUGGGAGAUAAUCAAGAAAAGAUAAAAAUAGAGUAGGGUCAUUAAAAAAUCUUCUCAAAAACCAAUGGGUCAGAAAAGAUGAAAUUCAUAGAUAAGCUUUAUUAGGUAGUGCAGAUUCUAAAUUGUUAAAAUCAUGGUCCCCAGAGGUAGGAUAGGGCCAUGAUAAGGGAUCAAUGUUUUACAUACAACUAUAUAGGAAAAGUCUUUAAAAAUCUUCUUCUCAAGACCCACUGAGCCAGAAAAGCUGAUAUUUAUAUGAAAGCCUCCUCAUAUAAUGCAGAUUCAAGUUUGUUAAAAUGAUGGCUCCCGGGGGUAGGAUGAGAUCACAAAGGGGAUCAAAUGUUUUACAUACAAAUAUAUAGGAAAAAUCUUUAAAAAUCUUCUUCUCAAGAACCACUGAGCUAGAAAAGCUGAAAUUUAUAUGAAAUCUUUCUAAUAUAGUGCAGAUUCAAGUUUCUUAAAAUGAUGGCUCCCGGAGGUCGGAUGGGACCACAAUAGGAGAUCAAAGUUUUACAUACAAAUAUACAGAGGAAAUCUUUAAAAAUCUUCUCAAGAACCACUGAGCCAGAAAAACUGAUAGGUACAUGAAAGCUUCCUAACAUAGUGCAGAGUUAAAUUUGUUCAAUUCAUGCCCCCUGGGGUAGGAUGGGACCACAAUAGGGGAUCAAAGUUUUGCAUACAAAUAUAUAGGGACAAUCUUUAAAAAUCUUCUUUUCAAGAACCAUUGGGCCAAAGAGGUUCACAUUUACAUGAAAGCUUUCUGAUAUAGUGUAGAUUCAAGUUUGCAAAAACCUUGGCCUCCAGGGUUACCUUAGUGCCAUAAUAGGGACUACGGUUUUACAUGCAAAUAUAUAUCUGAUAUGGACCAAGUUGACUCAAGUGAGCGAUGUGGCCCAUGGGCCUCUUAUUUUUUAAUGUUUUAAUGUUUGAUUUGUGUGUGUAUGUGUUUUUUUGUUUUUGUUUUUAUGUUUAUUGUAUCAACUCCUCUAUGCAGUCACUCGGCUGAAGGUGGUGUGGAUCUUGGCACUUCUUUACAAACAGAUGCAAGGUUCAGCGCUAGCACUAAAUAGGUCGUAAAACGUGUAUCAUUUGGAUGGAACGUUAACGGAUGUCGCGUAUUAAGGAGCACAACCCCCCGGCACGCAAAAGAUCGUUUCCCUGAUUUUCGAGAGAGGAGGCUCACUGGGGCCGUCAGGGAAACCCAAACACUCAAAACUAAACAUAUUUCAUCUAUUCAACCGCCAUAAAAUGGCUAAAAUAUUGCCAGAUCGGCGUAAAAACGCAAUCAACCAAUCAAAUACCAAAUUAGUUUUUCUUUACUAAAUAGUUAGACUAAAUGAUUUCAUUGCUUUUAGAUUCACAAUAACUUUCCAUUAUACCCGGCCGAUUAAUUAAUAUCAGGGGCGGAUCCAGGAAUUGCGGUUACGGGGGGUACCAUUUUAUGAAUUAGGGGAUCUGGGGACCGCCUUGAGGUGGUCCAGGGCGAAGCCCUAAUGGGGACCCAGGGAGGGUUAAGCUCCGAAAGCUGCUGAAUUUUACAGAUCUUAUAGGGCUUGAAAUAUGUCUCCUAUUUAAGUCAUUCAUACUAUUUUCAAUAAUUUUUGAUAAGGUGAAAUUUGUUAAAUGACGCAAAUUUUAAGGGUUUUGAAAAAAAUUAAAUUCUCCCAAUAAAUUAAUUCAAAAUAUCAAAAUAAUUUGUCAUUUAUUUCCAUGGGAGUGGAAGAAAUUGUUGUCGUUUUUUUUUUUAUCGUUUAGUACAUUUUUAUAAACAAGAUACCUCGAUUUAAUUAUAAUGGGAGGGGCGCCGGCUCCCCCCCCCCCCCCCCUUCAAUCCGCCACUGCAAUUUUGAUAAGCCAUUCAGCUGAUCAUAAAGCAAUGAGCGGGUAAUAGGCCCGCGAAAUCUACAGUUCCUGAUUUUAAUCAACGUUUAGCUUCCAUUUCAGGCGCAAUAUAUAUAUAUAUAUAUAUAUAUAUAUAUAUAUAUACAAGAUCAACUUUUUGAAAUUCAAUUCAACAAUGCAUUUGACCCGUAUACUCAUUAAAUCAUGUUUUCACCACAGACAUCUGAACUAUGGAUAUUACUAAUCCCCUCCCUUUUUUGGUCACCUGAGUAGACCUAUUGCAAUCGUGACCUAUUGCAAUCAGUUGUCGUCCGCCGUCGUGCAUCGUCCGUCAUCCGCAUGGUGAUGGGGAGCAGGAAGGCCUGUACCAAAAUUGUAAAUUACAUGAUCCCCGUGGUAGGGAUUCUGACCCCAGAGGAAGGGGGGGGGGGGGGCAAACUUGGUAUAUAGUGUUUAUGUGUAAAACACUUAAAUAACAUUUUCUUUAGUGCUAUUGAUACAAUAUUGAAACUAAAUAAAUAUUUAAAAAGAGGAGAUAGUCUUUUACCAACAUUUUAAAUUUGAUGAUCCCGGGGGGGGGGGGGGGGUUCUGGUAUCGUCAAAAUGGUCAAUUAUUAAAUGUGUGAACAAUAGACAUUUUUAACUUCUUGAUAACUAUCAUUCCAAUUCUUUUCAUAUUUAGUAUGACGUAUCUUUGGAACAAGGGAACAUAAAUUGUAAAUUUCAGAAUUCCUGCACUCCUGGUGUCUUGGGUACGGGGCAGAAACUGCCGAAAAUUGACCAAUUUUCAAAAAUCUUUCUCUCAAAAAACCUCACACGUGUAUGAAAAACUAAAUACAUGGUGAUGGAGAGCAGGCAGGCCUCUACCAAAAUUGUAAAUUUCAUGAUCCCCGGGGUAGGGGUUCUGACCCCACGACGGGGCCAAACUUGUUAUAUUGUGUUUAUGUGUAAAACACUUAAAUAACAACUUCUUUAGUGCUGUUGAUAGUAUAUUGACACUAAAUAGAUAUUUAGAAAGAGCAGGUAGUCCUUUCCCAAAAUUGUAAAUUUCAUGAUCCCAGGGGUAUUGGUAUUGGUACAUGUAUCAAGGUGGGGUCAAAAUUGUCAGUUAUUAAAUGUGUGAACAAUAUCCAUUUUUAUCUUCUUCUUGAUAACUAUCACUCCAAUUCUUUUUAUAUUUGGCAUGAAACGUCUUUGGAACAAGGGGGCAUAAUUUUUAAAUUUCAGGAUUUCUGCACCCCUGGUGCCUUAGGUGCGGCGAAAAAAAAAAACUGCCGAAAAUUGACUAAUUUUCAAAAUUCUUCUUCUCAAGAACCGCACACGUGUAACAAAAACUAAAUGCAUGGUGAUGGGGAGCAGGAAGGUCUCUUCCAAAAUUGUAAUUUCAUUAUCUCUGGGGUAGGGGUUCUGACCACAGGAUGGGGCCAAACUUGUUAUAUAGUGUUUAUGUGUAAAACACUUAAAACAUCUUCUUUAGUGCUUUAUACUAAAUUGAAACUAAAUGGAUAGAACAGGUAGUCUUUUAUGAAAAUUGUAAAUUUGAUGAUCCCUAGAGUAAUGUUUCUGACCCCAGGGUGGGGCCAAACUUAGUAUAUAGUAUUUAUGUGUAAGUUUGCUGAUACUGUAAUGAAUCUAAAUGCAUACUUAGGAAUAGCAGAAAAGGAUGUACAAAAAAUGUUGAAUUUCAAUUAAAACCCAGGCUUAUGAGUCCAAAUUAGUUAUAUGUUUUGAUUGACUGAUGUUUGCCGCCACACGCAACGAUUUUUUUAGUUAUCUGGUGGCGCCCAGUUUUUGUUGGUGGAAGAGAGAACCCAGAUACAGUAUACCUGGGAAGAGACCACCGACCUUCCGAAAGUAAACUGGGAAACUUUCUCACUUAUCAGCGCGAGCGGGAUUCGAACCCACGCCGACAGAGGUGAGAGGCCGCGUGAUUUUGAACGCGCGUGAUUUUGAACGCGAUAUUCUAACCACUUGGCCACGAUGCCCCUUCAUAUCUUUUGAUGUUUUAAUAUUAAUACACCUACUAUUUAGAGCCUUUCAUUGGUGUAUGCACUUUUGAAGGCAGUGAAGUUUUAAGAACACAUCGUGUUUUAUAUUGUUGCUGAACAUUAAAAUUUAGAUAUUCAGAACAGGAAUUUGUGUUUUCUAGAUUUCGUAGCCCAUGGAAGUAGUGAUACUUUUUCACUAGUAUCCAGGUUACCGAUAAGGCCCGUGGGCCUCUUUAUUGAUAUUUUUUUGUGAUGAUGAUUUCUCUGAAAUAUGUGAAUUACCUCAUACCUCCUUCGAUAAAUGUAAUUGUGUCACGCUUUUUGUAACAUUUAGAGAUUGGCCUUCUACUGGUAUAUGAUAAAAUACACUAUGCAUCACCGACACCGGAUAUUGCUAUAUGUACCAGUCGAAGCGGAAACUUCGUUAGGCUCGAGUAGGCACUUGCCUAUACAUUUUUUUUUUCAAAACACAUUUUGUCCAUAUAUAUUUGCAAAAAUAAUAUGUUCAUAUAUAUUUCUAGUUUUUAAAAUCGGAUAUAAAAUUAUUGUUCCGUCGGACCUUAAUUUUCUUUUUAUAAUGCAUUCUACAUGACAUAAAUAAUGGUUGCAUAUUUUCUAUAAACUUAUUGAGAUCACAAUGACUCACUCGACUUAACAAUUACAAAUCUUUGAAAAGUUAUACAAUAUUUAAUAUGUAUUAAAAUUAUUUUGAUGCUCAGAGUAAUGCAAAUGAGUCCCAACAGUUCAAAACAUAUUUCGGUGGUGACACCCCGAGCAACCCCCCAGCGGAAAGGGGCAACCCCCUCCCGCACCCCCCCCCUCCGGCGUUUCUCACCUCGGUCAAACCUUCAUCGUUCGGCCUACACAUUGAAAUAGUCCUUGCUAUGCCCCUGGUAAUAACACACUAAGAUGGGAAGUCCUUUUAAACCACUUUUUACGCAUUUGCUAACAGUACCCCCGUCAAUGACUUAGAAUUACACGAAAUAGUGUCAAUUUCAGUUGUAUGACUUAAAGCGUCCUCUGUAAGCGAAUCAAAUACAGCUAUAGUGAUGUUGUUUCACUGUUGCCCGUUAUGAAUAGUCAUGAUUUUGAAUGAUAUGUACAUUGAAAUCAAUGUUGGCCCAUAAACGUGGAUUUCACCUGUGGCGGAAUUAGAGUCUCUCCCCCUUUUUGAUAUCUAUUAAUAUUAUCAUGCGUAUGAAGUAAAGCUAAAAGAACCUAUAAAAAGAACCUAAGAAGACUCAAAACAUUGGAGCCCCCAGCAA